rnacentral:rRNA from 1 species
UACGGAGGAUCCGAGCGUUGUCCGGAUUUAUUGGGUUUAAAGGGUGCGCAGGCGGAAGAUUAAGUCGGUGGUGAAAUUUUGCAGCUCAACUGUAAAAGUGCCAUUGAUACUGGGGAGCUAGGAUUUGGUUGCUGUGGGUGGAAUGUGUGGUGUAGCGGUGAAAUGCUUAGAGAUCACACAGAAUAUCGAUUGCGAAGGCAGCUCACAAAGCCAAGAUUGACGCUGAGGCACGAAAGUGUGGGGAUCAAACAGGA